rnacentral:snRNA from 1 species
CCUGACCCACACAGAUUA